UCGGCCCGGGAAGCGAGGGCAGCUGUGUGUUAAGGAGAAGAGGAAAACUAGAGAAAAAAACCCAGAGUGAAACCUGUGAAAAAGGAAAAAAAGAGUCGGAGCACUUACCCAGUGGAGGUCUGGAGCCAAGUGGCUGAACGAAGGAGAGUUACGUCGCAGGCUAACUGCUUGCCUGUCCUCCGGAGAGCUGCUACGAGGUUCGGCAUCGGCAUGCUCCACCUUGAUACACAGAGCAACGGUCAGGUUUUUUAGAGGACUGAGAGUCUGAGGUUCAGGACAACUUCCUGCUGUGAAAGAUGGCGAGCCAACUACCCUGAUUGAAGAUUAUCACCGAGGAGAUAUUCAAGUACACACUCAUUCACACAAAUAAUACACUCACAUUACACUACAAGGAACCUUGGAAUAAGGUGAACC